GACAGAGGCCCCGAGCGUUAGGCGGAAUCACUGGGCUUAAAGCGUGUGUAGGCGGACCCCUAAGUGUCUUGUGAAAUCCCACGGCUCACCCGUGGAACCGCUGGGCAUACUGGGGGUCUUGGGCCGUUCAGGGGCGACUGGAACAAGCGGUGGAGCGGUGAAAUGCGUAGAUAUCAUUUGGAACGCCAAUGGUGAAAACAACUCGCUGGGGAAGUGCUGACGCUGAGACACGAAAGCCAGGGGAGCGAACGGG
rnacentral:rRNA from 1 species